UACGUAGGGGGCAAGCGUUGUCCGGAAUCAUUGGGCGUAAAGAGCGCGUAGGCGGCCCUGUAAGUCCGCUGUGAAAGUCAAGGGCUCAACCCUUGGAUGCCGGUGGAUACUGCAGGGCUAGAGUCCGGAAGAGGCGAGUGGGAUUCCUGGUGUAGCGGUGAAAUGCGCAGAUAUCGAGAGGAACACCUGCGGCGAAGGCGG
rnacentral:rRNA from 1 species